CACUAUCGUUAACUGAAUACAUAGGUUAACGAGGCGAACCGGGGGAACUGAAACAUCUAAGUACCCCGAGGAAAAGAAAUCAACCGAGAUUCCCCCAGUAGCGGCGAGCGAACGGGGAGCAGCCCAGAGUCUGAAUCAGCUUGUGUGUUAGUGGAACGGUCUGGAAAGUCCGACGGUACAGGGUGAUAGUCCCGUACACCAAAAUGCACAGGCUGUGAACUCGAAGAGUAGGGCGGGACACGUGGUAUCCUGUCUGAAUAUGGGGGGACCAUCCUCCAAGGCUAAAUACUCCUGACUGACCGAUAGUGAACCAGUACCGUGAGGGAAAGGCGAAAAGAACCCCGGCGAGGGGAGUGAAAAAGAACCUGAAACCGUGUACGUACAAGCAGUGGGAGCACCUUCGGGUGUGACUGCGUACCUUUUGUAUAAUGGGUCAGCGACUUAUAUUCUGUAGCAAGGUUAACCGUAUAGGGGAGCCGCAGGGAAACCGAGUCUUAACUGGGCGUUAAGUUGCAGGGUAUAGACCCGAAACCCGGUGAUCUAGCCAUGGGCAGGUUGAAGGUUGGGUAACACUAACUGGAGGACCGAACCGACUAAUGUUGAAAAAUUAGCGGAUGACUUGUGGCUGGGGGUGAAAGGCCAAUCAAACCGGGAGAUAGCUGGUUCUCCCCGAAAGCUAUUUAGGUAGCGCCUCGUGAACUCAUCUUCGGGGGUAGAGCACUGUUUCGGCUAGGGGGUCAUCCCGACUUACCAACCCGAUGCAAACUACGAAUACCGAAGAAUGUUAUCACGGGAGACACACGGCGGGUGCUAACGUCCGUCGUGAAGAGGGAAACAACCCAGACCGCCAGCUAAGGUCCCAAAGUCAUGGUUAAGUGGGAAACGAUGUGGGAAGGCACAGACAGCCAGGAUGUUGGCUUAGAAGCAGCCAUCAUUUAAAGAAAGCGUAAUAGCUCACUGGUCGAGUCGGCCUGCGCGGAAGAUGUAACGGGGCUAAACCAUGCACCGAAGCUGCGGCAGCGACACUAUGUGUUGUUGGGUAGGGGAGCGUUCUGUAAGCCUGCGAAGGUGUGCUGUGAGGCAUGCUGGAGGUAUCAGAAGUGCGAAUGCUGACAUAAGUAACGAUAAAGCGGGUGAAAAGCCCGCUCGCCGGAAGACCAAGGGUUCCUGUCCAACGUUAAUCGGGGCAGGGUGAGUCGACCCCUAAGGCGAGGCCGAAAGGCGUAGUCGAUGGGAAACAGGUUAAUAUUCCUGUACUUGGUGUUACUGCGAAGGGGGGACGGAGAAGGCUAUGUUAGCCGGGCGACGGUUGUCCCGGUUUAAGCAUGUAGGCUGGUUAUCCAGGCAAAUCCGGAUAAUCAAGGCUGAGGUGUGAUGACGAGGCACUACGGUGCUGAAGUAACAAAUGCCCUGCUUCCAGGAAAAGCCUCUAAGCAUCAGGUAACAUCAAAUCGUACCCCAAACCGACACAGGUGGUCAGGUAGAGAAUACCAAGGCGCUUGAGAGAACUCGGGUGAAGGAACUAGGCAAAAUGGUGCCGUAACUUCGGGAGAAGGCACGCUGGUGUGUAGGUGAAGUCCCUGCGGAUGGAGCUGAGACCAGUCGAAGAUACCAGCUGGCUGCAACUGUUUAUUAAAAACACAGCACUGUGCAAACACGAAAGUGGACGUAUACGGUGUGACGCCUGCCCGGUGCCGGAAGGUUAAUUGAUGGGGUUAUCCGUAAGGAGAAGCUCUUGAUCGAAGCCCCGGUAAACGGCGGCCGUAACUAUAACGGUCCUAAGGUAGCGAAAUUCCUUGUCGGGUAAGUUCCGACCUGCACGAAUGGCGUAAUGAUGGCCAGGCUGUCUCCACCCGAGACUCAGUGAAAUUGAACUCGCUGUGAAGAUGCAGUGUACCCGCGGCAAGACGGAAAGACCCCGUGAACCUUUACUAUAGCUUGACACUGAACAUUGAGCCUUGAUGUGUAGGAUAGGUGGGAGGCUUUGAAGCGUGGACGCCAGUCUGCGUGGAGCCAACCUUGAAAUACCACCCUUUAAUGUUUGAUGUUCUAACGUUGGCCCCUGACCGGGGUUGCGGACAGUGUCUGGUGGGUAGUUUGACUGGGGCGGUCUCCUCCCAAAGCGUAACGGAGGAGCACGAAGGUUAGCUAAUCCUGGUCGGACAUCAGGAGGUUAGUGCAAUGGCAUAAGCUAGCUUGACUGCGAGCGUGACGGCGCGAGCAGGUGCGAAAGCAGGUCAUAGUGAUCCGGUGGUUCUGAAUGGAAGGGCCAUCGCUCAACGGAUAAAAGGUACUCCGGGGAUAACAGGCUGAUACCGCCCAAGAGUUCAUAUCGACGGCGGUGUUUGGCACCUCGAUGUCGGCUCAUCACAUCCUGGGGCUGAAGUAGGUCCCAAGGGUAUGGCUGUUCGCCAUUUAAAGUGGUACGCGAGCUGGGUUUAGAACGUCGUGAGACAGUUCGGUCCCUAUCUGCCGUGGGCGCUGGAGAAUUGAGGGGGGCUGCUCCUAGUACGAGAGGACCGGAGUGGACGCAUCACUGGUGUUCGGGUUGUCAUGCCAAUGGCACUGCCCGGUAGCUAAAUGCGGAAGAGAUAAGUGCUGAAAGCAUCUAAGCACGAAACUUGCCCCGAGAUGAGUUCUCCCUGAGACU
rnacentral:rRNA from 1 species